GGUGGUGUAGCUUAGUGAUAGAGCGCUUGCCUAGCACAUGCAAAAGCCCUGGGUUCAAUCCCCAGCACUGCAA
rnacentral:tRNA from 1 species